ensembl:snRNA U6 U6 spliceosomal RNA
GUGUUCACUUCAACAACACAUAUACUCAAAUUGGAAUGAUUCAGAGAAGAUUAGCACGGCCCCUGUGCACGGAUGACAUACAAAUUCAUGAAGCAUUACAUAAAUUA